UACAGAGGGUGCGAGCGUUGUUCGGAAUUACUGGGCGUAAAGCGCGCGUAGGUGGUGUGUUAAGUCUGCCGGUCAAAUGCCGAGGCUCAACCUCGAGCACGCCGGGGAUACCUGGCACGCUGGAGACGACGUAGAGGCAAGCGGAAUUCCGGGUGUAGCGGUGAAAUGCGCAGAUAUCAGGAGGAACACCGGUGGCGAAGGCGGGUCUCUGGCAGUGAACUGACGCUGAGGAACGAAAGCGUGGGUAGCGAACGGG
rnacentral:rRNA from 1 species